UACGGGGGGGGCAAGCGUUGUUCGGAAUUACUGGGCGUAAAGGGCUCGUAGGCGGCCAACUAAGUCAGACGUGAAAUCCCUCGGCUUAACCGGGGAACUGCGUCUGAUACUGGUUGGCUUGAAUCCGGGAGAGGGAUGUGGAAUUCCAGGUGUAGCGGUGAAAUGCGUAGAUAUCGGAAGGAACAUCAGUGGCGAAAGCGGCUUCCUGGACCAGCACCGACGUUCGAGCACGAAAGCGUGGGGAGCAAACAGG
rnacentral:rRNA from 1 species